CUAAAGCCCUGAGCUGGGAGUGGGUGGAGCUCGCUCUCUGCCCCACCUAUGGGAGCUGGCUUCCUCUGCACCUACCGCACCCCUUACUAGCGGCGGCUUGUAAUCACCCCACUGGGUGGAUUUCGCUAUCCCACUCCUCACACCAAGCAGGCCCAGAUCAUCUGUCCUCCCCUAGCUGGACACUCCUGCCGGGACCGGCAGCUAGGGAGAGAGAGGGAGAGAGAGAGUACCCGUUCCUCCCCUCUGGCUCAGUAGGGAGUCGGAGUCCUCGUUGCUUUCAUCUUCCCGCCUGCCCUCCUCUUCUUGUCCUGCCUGGCUUCCCUCUGUCAGGCUCUCCUCCAAAGAGCUGGAGGCAGGGAGAGGAAAGCGUGUGUAUUUCCUACUAGUCACGGAGUGGAGAGCCCUGAAGGACAGAGACCCAGUACCACCUCCUCCAAUUUCUCUUCCCAGCUGUCCUUCACUUGGGAAACAGGACACGGACAGAACAUCUAACUUCAGACAGCCAUCAGGGAGGACAAAGAAAGGGAAAAAAGAAGAGCUUGAUUGGCAGACAGUCCAGAUCCAUAGUGGAAGACCAUUCACUUGGUGAUCGAGCACUCUCCUGAAAUUACCCUGGUGCUGCCCACAAAAGUAAAGUGCAACACUGAAGAAAGAAGAUAAAGAAUAAAAGAUCACGGACUUUGUAAAGUGAACA
rnacentral:lncRNA from 1 species